rnacentral:rRNA from 1 species
AUCGACCGAUAGUGAACCAGUACCGUGAGGGAAAGGCGAAAAGAACCCCGGGAGGGGAGUGAAAUAGAACCUGAAACCGCAUGCAUACAAACAGUAGGAGCCUCGUCAGAGGUGACUGCGUACCUUUUGCAUAAUGGGUCAGCGACUUACAUUCUGUGGCGAGCUUAACCGAAUAGGGGAGGCGCAGCGAAAGCGAGUUCGAAAUGAGCGUCCAGUCGCAGGGUGUAGACCCGAAACCAGAUGAGCUAUCCAUGGCCAGGUUGAAGGUGUGGUAACACACACUGGAGGACCGAACCGACUAGUGUUGCAAAAUUAGCGGAUGAGCUGUGGAUAGGGGUGAAAGGCCAAACAAAUCUGGAGAUAGCUGGUUCUCCCCGAAAACUAUUGAGGUAGUGCCUCGUGUGUCGCUCCAGGGGGUAGAGCACUGUUUUGGCUAGGGGGACAUGGAGUCUUACCAAACCAAGGCAAACUCCGAAUACCUGGAAGCGUAAGCACGGGAGACAGAGCACCGGGUGCUAACGUCCGGACUCAAAAGGGAAACAACCCAGACCGCCGGCUAAGGUCCCCAAUAACAGCUAAGUGGAAAACGAAGUGGAAAGGCCGUGACAACCAGGAAGUUGGCUUAGAAGCAGCCAUCCUUCAAAGAAAGCGUAAUAGCUCACUGGUCGAGUCCUUCUGCGCGGAAGAUGUAACGGGGCUAAGCUGUUAACCGAAGCCGCGGAUGCACUGAUUAUUCAGUGCGUGGUAGGGGAGCGUUCUGUAAGUCUGCGAAGGCGGUUCGAGAGGACUGCUGGAGAUAUCAGAAGUGCGAAUGCUGACAUGAGUAACGUUAAAGCAGGUGAAAAGCCUGCUCGCCGUAAGCCCAAGGAUUCCUGCUCUACGUUCAUCGGAGCAGGGUGAGUCGGCUCCUAAGGUCAGGCCGAAAGGCGUAGCCGAUGGGAAUCAGGUUAAUAUUCCUGAACCUGCGUCAGAUGCGAUGGGGGGACGGAGCAUGAAAGAUCAUCCGGGUGUUGGAUGUCCCGGUUGACGAGCGUAGGAGGUCUGCAGGCAAAUCCGCAGACGCAUCUCCAAGGCGAAGUCACGUGCCGCCACGGCGGCGAAGUGAUCGGAAGUGCUUCCAAGAAAAGCCUCUAAGCACCAGUCUGACGCGGACCGUACCGCAAACCGACACUGGUGGGCGAGCUGAAUAUGCUCAGGCGCUUGAGAGAACUCGGGAGAAGGAACUCGGCAAAUUGACACCGUAACUUCGGAAGAAGGUGUGCCGUAGUAGCGUGAGAGGAGAGACACCUUGAGCGUGAAUCGGUCUCAGAGAAUAGGUGGCUGCGACUGUUUAUUAAAAACACAGCACUCUGCAAAGUCGAAAGACGACGUAUAGGGUGUGAUGCCUGCCCGGUGCUGGAAGAUUAAUUGAUGGGGUGAGAGCCCUUGAUCGAAGUCCCAGUAAACGGCGGCCGUAACUAUAACGGUCCUAAGGUAGCGAAAUUCCUUGUCGGGUAAGUUCCGACCUGCACGAAUGGCAUAACGAUGGCCACACUGUCUCCUCCCGAGACUCAGUGAAGUUGAAAUGUUUGUGAUGAUGCAAUCUACCCGCGGCUAGACGGGAAGACCCCAUGAACCUUUACUGCAGCUUUGCAUUGAACUGUGAACCGAUUUGUGUAGGAUAGGUGGGAGGCAGAGAAGAGUCCACGCCAGUGGUCUUGGAGCCGACCUUGAAAUACCACCCUGAUUUGUUUGCGGUUCUAACCACGGACAGUGAUCCUGUCUUGGGACCGUGCAUGGUAGGCAGUUUGACUGGGGCGGUCUCCUCCUAAAGGGUAACGGAGGAGUACGAAGGUACGCUAGGUACGGUCGGAAAUCGUGCUGAUAGUGCAAUGGCAAAAGCGUGCUUGACUGCGAGAGCAACAACUCGAGCAGAUGCGAAAGCAGGUCAUAGUGAUCCGGUGGCUCUGAAUGGAAGGGCCAUCGCUCAACGGAUAAAAGGUACUCUGGGGAUAACAGGCUGAUACCGCCCAAGAGUUCAUAUCGACGGCGGUGUUUGGCACCUCGAUGUCGGCUCAUCUCAUCCUGGGGCUGUAGUCGGUCCCAAGGGUAUGGCUGUUCGCCAUUUAAAGAGGUACGUGAGCUGGGUUUAAAACGUCGUGAGACAGUUUGGUCCCUAUCUGCCGUGGGCG